CUUGAACGUGUAGUUUGGUCCAAGUAGUCAAUCUGUCAUAAACCGCCAAACGAAGGAUCAAUAUUGGCCGCCUCCAAAGACACAUUGGUGGAAAAUGGAUCCGAUGGUUGAGGAACAGUGGAAGGGGGUGUGGUUUUUCAGGAGUGACGUGUAUGUCACUUUAGCAUAAACGAGGAUAAAAUCAUGAUUGAUGAAUAUUGAGUUGUUCAACCAAGGAAAAGAGGGUCAAUUAUUUGGGUCACAACUUGAUGUGGCACAAUACGAUUUGGUUUCUCAAAAUGGACCCCUCUUUAAAUUCAUUAUUCUUUUUAUAUUUU